rnacentral:sRNA from 1 species
UUUUCUGCUCUGCGACUCCUUUUGCAGAGGGGGAGCGCCUGGAGGUCCGGAUGAAACGUCUGGAAGCCAAGUAUGCCCCGCUCCACCUGGUCCCUCUGAUCGAGCGGCUGGGGACGCCUCAGCAAAUCGCCAUCGCUCGCGAGGGUGACCUCCUGACCAAGGAGCGGCUAUGCUGUGGCCUGUCCAUGUUCGAGGUCAUCCUGACCCGCAUUCGGAGCUACCUGCAGGACCCCAUCUGGCGGGGCCCACCGCCCACCAAUGGCGUCAUGCACGUCGAUGAGUGUGUGGAGUUCCACCGGCUGUGGAGCGCCAUGCAGUUCGUCUACUGCAUCCCUGUGGGAACCAACGAGUUCACAGCUGAGUGAGUACCCCCCAGAAAAGGAAGGGUUACCCCUAACCUGCCUGUACUCCUGCAAAUCAUGGGGCUGCCAGAGUUCAGCCAGAAACGUGGGCAGGGGGUAGGGGUGGUUGGCCAACAACUACUUUGUUGAGUGUGUUGAGCUGACUGCAUGGGCAAGAAAGAGCCCAGUAAGGGUUUGAUAGUAAGACCCUCACUGCCUGC